UCUUAACUAUCAUUUUGCAGGUUAGUAGAGACACAUAUAUUCUCUUUUGUAGUGGGAAGAGCGUUUGUAACUGAUAUUGAAAAGUUGAAACUUAGCAGUAAAACAAGAUCUUUGGAAGUUGAGAGAGUUUUGAACUUUUUCUCUACAAUCACAAAGGAUGGCAUCAGGCCUGGAGCAAAUUUAUUACAUGCAGUUGAAGUCCUUGUAUCUGGGCCUAUCGAAAAACAACCUUUCCUUGACUCUGGGAUCUUAUGCUGUCUCAUCCAUGUCUUAAAUGCGCUUCUUGCUCCUGACAUGGGCAAUCAGAGACUACAGCUAAACAAUGACGAGGAGCUUAUACUAGCAGAUGAAAAGCAUGGUGAAGAGACGAGAGCUGCACGGCGGCUUGAGGUGGUUGUUUUACUAGUGAAGUU